CUGCCUUCACCUCACCUGUUACCACCCCAGCAGCCGCACCUUCCUUCACGUGGGAUUGGCGUUGUAGGCGAUCUGCUGAGAUGUCCCCUCGCUAAGAGGAGGCGAAGCAUUGGGGAAACCUCCAGGGUGGAAUACGGUGAAUAUGCAAGGAAUCUGUUCCAUGAUGGCUCCCUAAGCAGCAUGCCCUGCAGCCUUGGAUGCUGGCAGCAGCAGCAAACGCAAUGUCCUUUUGGCCAUCAGGAUAUUGUGGAGAUGUAGGCCUUAGGGGUACGCAGGUGAAGACAUGAGUGAAAUGGCUGGAGGAUGGUGGGAAUCGUCCUACUGCUAUGGAACGAUGCUGCAGCUCUCCUCUCGGUGCUAGGUCUGGACCAGGUGCUUCACCCGCUGUAAAUCAGCCCCGGGGCGGCAGGGCCAGGUCAGGAAAGCGUUAAC
ensembl:lncRNA